AAAUAUACUUGAAAAUUUCCUGUCUUCCAGAAAAAUCUGUGCAAAAUACUAUGAAUUAAAAGGCAUUAUACAAAUACAAGGCAAACAAAUUGACUUUCACAUAUACAUUAUUUAUAUCCAGUGGUGUGCUACAGUCAGCAUAUACCAGCUCACAGAAAGCCCAUUUUCAAAUGUUUAGGAACCCUGCAAACUCAUUGACAUCACAUACAUUAAAAUCAGCAUGCUGAUGGGAAGCGCAGUGAGCCUUUACUUUAUGGGUUAUCUGUCUUUUGUUCUGUGUCUAUUUUAAGAUCAGUCUGUCUCAGUCACUUCUUUUUUUCUUCUUUUCAUGUACUAAAUCUAGAUGUCAUUU
rnacentral:lncRNA from 1 species